AUGCCCUGGUCAGUGCUCAGACAGUGGCGGAGCUUUUCUUCGCGGAACCUGCCGCACCCCCUGAGGUCAACGUGCAGGACGUGCAAAAGCAGAUUGCCUCAAUUA
rnacentral:SRP_RNA from 1 species